UACGUAGGGGGCAAGCGUUGUCCGGAUUUAUUGGGCGUAAAGAGCUCGUAGGCGGUUUGGUAAGUCUGGUGUGAAAUCUCCACGCUCAACGUGGAGGGGCCACCCGAUACUGCCAUGACUGGAGUCCGGUAGAGGAGUGUGGAAUUCCCGGUGUAGCGGUGAAAUGCGCAGAUAUCGGGAGGAACACCCGUGGCGAAGGCGGCUCUCUGGUACGUGACUGACGCUGAGACGCGAAAGCGUGGGGAGCGAACAGG
rnacentral:rRNA from 1 species